UCUCAUUUGGGGCAGUACAAGGGCCGUAUUUUUCCCUGCAGCUGAGUUAUUCCCUUUGUGCCUCACCUAUUUUUAAGUCUUUUAAUGUACUCUAAGGUCAUCUUUAAAGCCCUUUCUGUAUCUCAGCCGCUUCACGUUCCUUCCACCUCCACCCGGUGUACGUCAAUCGUGUUCUUGUUCUUCGGGCCCAGGUAGUUCACCGGAUUUACGGCAACUACUUUUUGUCUCUCUUCAGGCUUUACUUUUCUGAAGGACUUCACUCAUCCAGAAUAGACUUGGAGACUUGAGGCUGAAGAAUAAUUAUUCAUUCUUUUUCAAGUCUUAGGACAGCCGAAACACAAGUCUUAAUUUUACAGCCACUAGGACAUCCAUGAGCCAACAAAUAUUUCUCUGCAUAGCCCACUAGGAUGCCAGAAUGAUGCACACAUCUGUAGAGCUGAGUGCAGUGUUUCUGCUGGAACCAGACAGAACAUGGAUGAGCAGAGAUAGGGCAGUAUCAUGGAUCACCAGGAAAAUACUCCUUAUCCGUGAGCAACUGCAUCAUGGGGGGAGACUCUAGUCAAUUUAGUGCUUAGCUUAGUAGGGAAGUUGAAGUGUUCUAAAGAAGAGAUGCCAGUUUUUAACAAAGCCUUUCUGGAGAGCAUCUUUGAAAUCAUCACCAGUCUUUGCAGGUCUGUGUUCAGAUAGAAUCGUCUGUGUUGAAAAUAAAUUGAUAUACUGUAAAAAGGACUAGCAGGAUAAUUUAUAUUCAGCAGAGGCUCAAAUACUAAUUCAGAGAGAAGAUUUCAAGAUGAAAUGUAUCCUGGAGUUAAAAAAAAAUCUAAUUACCUUGACUACUGCAUUUCUUAGCAAACCACAUUUUACUUUUGUAUAUGAGCUAUGAAGGCAGUGUUCUAGUAGGGUCUUAUGGAGUGUGUUUUUUCAUUAAAAUCUAUAGAAUUUGUAUAUUCAUGAGA